UACGUAGGGUGCAAGCGUUAAUCGGAAUUACUGGGCGUAAAGCGUGCGCAGGCGGUCUUGUAAGACAGAGGUGAAAUCCCCGGGCUUAACCUGGGAACUGCCUUUGUGACUGCAAGGCUUGAGUGCGGCAGAGGGGGAUGGAAUUCCGCGUGUAGCAGUGAAAUGCGUAGAUAUGCGGAGGAACACCGAUGGCGAAGGCAAUCCCCUGGGCCUGCACUGACGCACAUGCACGAAAGCGUGGGGAGUAAACAGG
rnacentral:rRNA from 1 species